AUCCUUUUGUGGUUGGUAAGCAUGGUAACUAGGUUUUCAUACUCACCUGUGAAAUGUGCCUCCUUCCAGGCUUGUUACCAUGUAGGCAUAUUACCCAUCUGAUG
rnacentral:snoRNA from 2 species